UCCCGGCCCCGCCGGGCAGCGCUCGCCUCGCCGUGGGGCAGCGCGUCGGGCUUGGCAGCGCGGGAGAGCCCUGAAGCUCCGGCCGGUGCUCUCGGCGUGUUUGCCGUGGAAGCCGCUGAGAGAGCUCCCACCUGCAAGCUUGGGGAGGGGUAAACUGGGCCGUGUGCUGUGGGAAAGGGGCCACCUCAUUUUUAGCGCCUUUGAAAUAAGUUGGCCAUGGAAGGUUUUGAAGUAAAACACUGAAAAAGGAAGGCUGAUGAAUAGCCUGGCUCUGUUCUCGAUUGGAAACGUUAUUAACUCUUUUCUUAUGAGAACCUUAAAAGUACUACACAAAUAUGAACCGCACCACCUGAAGAAUCUGGGAUGUCUCAUUUGACAGGCAGCAAGUGCAUGUAUCUGAACUUACCCAAAUCAGUGCUGAUAAGUCUAUGUCAGAGUUGAGAUUUCAGUUUACCAUUUUUAGCAUCGCUGAGUUGCCAGUGAGUCCUGAAGUGCUGCUUCCCCUUUCCCUCAGUGAAGUGGAAGCCCAUGUGAGGCAGCACGUGCUAUAGCUGCCCAUCAUGGCCCAUCUGUAUUUCCCGUGGUCACUGGAGCUGACAUCUUCCCGAUCCUUUAAACCCUGGAGCGGUGUGGUCUAACCAACAAAAGUUCAUGUCUCGUGGAAAAAAGUGCUCUGUGCAGCUGAUCUUUGCCUAAGUGCCCUGGCCUCUUCCAUGGGAAGAGUCACUGUGGUUCUCCAUAGGGCUAUGGCUCUUUGCACAGAGACGUUUGGGACAUUCUGAAGCAGAGCCAAAGACAAGGUCCCCCCUGGCUGAACACAGCCGCAAAAAAUCCAGGUUUGAUACAUUGUGCAUACUAUUGAAGAUACAUGGAAAAACAUCUCCCUGGAGCCCCAUGCCAGCUCAGCAGAUCGUAGAGGCUCAGUGCCACCCUCAUGCUCAAGGCCCAUAGAGGCCAUUGAUCCUCCAGUGGGAUGUCCCAGUCCUGCAGAAUUCCCUUCCCUUAAGUGAACAAAGAUGGUGCUGUCACAUAUGGAAUUAGCCACGGAGAGAGCCAUCACAGGGCACCCAGCUACAACCAAGACACAUUUUCCCAUUGGGUGCUUUCAUACAUUUAUCACUCCUUGAUGAAGCCUGUGAGAGAUCACCCAGAUAGCUGAGCUCUGCCGAGGCAGAAGGACUGGAAUGGGACUGCCUGCACUCAUGCUUAUAGUUAAGUAGCAGAAAUGGCUUAGUUCAUACCUUUGGUUAUUUUGGUACAUAUUCCUUGUGGAGAAGCCAAAGUUAGAACAAAAGCAUUCUAUUUUAAUUUAGUGUAAUUAUAGCCUGUCUACCUAGAAAAGCUGAAUUGCUUUAACAAUAUACCGCAGCUAAUUCCCUAGAGUAUGGAUGCAGUUGUGCCAAGAUAAUGCUAAUUGGGCUUAUUCUUGUCGGGAAAGGGAAAAAUUAUGCGUGCAUUGCAGGCUUGCUUUGCAAACAGCUGCAGCUGUUUGAAAAGUUACCUCCAUGGCAGCUUGUUGCCACACUUGUUCUUGGGCUUGCUGCCUCCAUAGCAAAGCCUUACAGCAAGCGUGCUCCACGGCCACCUGGCUGCAAAAUCACAGUGUUUAAUUCAGUAUUAGGUGCCGUCAGCCCAGCAAGUGUUCCGUGGAAAAGCCUGAGACUACUGCGUGGCUGCUGUGCUCUAACGUGAGGGAGCUCAGAGAUAUCUGUGGUGUGGUAACAUCUUGAGUGGCGAUGCUCUUUCAACAGUAUAAGCUCAGUAUUAGAGUGAUGCAGGUGACAAAUCACAUCCCUGAGCAAAGUUAGGUACCAACCCCAGUACCAAAAAUUUCCACAGGUUCUCCUUUUCCUUAAAGUGAGACAAAAGGGAAAUGGAUUAAUUGCACAGAGGUUUGUGUCCCUUCUUCUGAAUUGAAAACAAGCUGCUUUUCAGUGGAACUCUGAAGGUUGUCAGGAUCUGCAUAAAACAAGGAAUAUCUUCAGUCAUCUCUGGUGUACUUCUUUGAGUAUGGAGACUGGAUACUGUUACUUCUGGUGCAUUUCCUCCCUACUGCUCUGUGCAGGGGGCAGAGCCACAUUUGCAGCCCAGUGUUUCAUUUUUAUUCUGCGUGGUUCCCAGUGUAUGCCUAGCUGCGUCUCUGCACAAGACAAGGCAUUGCUGGGGAAAGGCAUGCCCAUUGGGAAGAGGUACAGCUUUUCAGGAUCUAGUUCCCUCGGAGUUCAUUCUUCAGGCUCUGAGCAGCACCCAAGAAAGUUGUCUCCCGCACACGUGAGCUUUGAUAGAAAGGCCCAUUGUGCCUGAGGAGCAGAGCUGUCAAGAGGAGUCUCCAUCUCCAUGCCAAGGUUUGUGUUACCCUUCUGCCAGAGCCCACAGCUGGCAGUUUUCCAUCUCCUGAAAUCCAGAGGAGCUUUCCACCUCAGGGAACAAGAAACUGGAGAAAAGUCAAUAGACCAGACUAGCUUCAUACCACAUUUAUGCAAGGAAAGAAAUAAAAGGAGCACUAUAAUUAUAUUUUAACUACCUUUUAUUCUCAGCAGCAUCUCAUAAAUCAGGUACCUUGUUAGGACUGUGGAAUGUCAUACAAUGCUGGAAGUCAGCAUACAGUAAGUAUGCUGUCAAUAAACGCAGUAAAGAUUAUAAGUUGCUUUGCUUUGGCCAUCUUGGGCAGUGUGUCCUGACAUGACGAAGUCAUGACAGCAGAUGAAUUUCUGUCCAUUUUGUCUGGUUUGGGCAAAGAGAAGGUGAAUAGAUGCACUGCAAUCUCUGACACCACACCAGGAUGUGGCCCAACUGAGAGCACAAGAAUGUGCAAGCCACGUCAUCCCUUACCAGCAGUGGCAAAUGGCAAAUUUAUGUCCUGGAUCAAUGCCAUGAUGAGAACUCAUUAAGACAAAAGAUGGACAACCACAAGGAAAACUCCCGUAGGUGGGAGAUGAGAGGGCAGACAAUAUGUACUGGGUGACAAUCCAUUUGAAUGGCACUGAAAGAUGAUGUGAAAAAUCUCCUCAUGCAAUGCUGCAAGCAAAAAAUGCCACAUGUACAUUUUUAAACACCUUCAGCAGACAAGUAGAGCUGAUGCAUUGAGCUAAAUAGGCUGCAGUGGGACAGCUAUAAGAGUCUGCAUUGUUUCUGUUCUUGGGGAAGGGGGUGUGAGUGGAUUCAGAGCUGCAUGGUUGGCCUAUACUGUAAUGUACCCUGCUCAGUACAGUAGCCUUUUGUGUAAGAGGAUGAGCUAACCGGUUGUUUUGCAGAGGGGGGCCCGUUUGCACUGCAGCAGCAAGUCAGAGCAGCUCCCGGGCAGCCGUGGUGGCAGUGGGCUGAGGGGGCAUUGAUGGAGGGAUGCUGUAACAGAUAGCCCCUGUUUCUGAGCUUUUGGCCUCAAUCCUAUCACAUGCACACAUCUUACAGGUUUGAACCCAAUUGUUUUCAGAGCUCUAAGCUAGGGGAUAAACAGGCUUAACUCCACAUAGGUCAACAGGGUGGCAGUUGUCUGUCUCUGGGCUGAAUUUGACGCAUUAUCAGCCAGUUCACAGAAAAAACUCUUGCUCUAUCCUACAUGCUCAUGUUAAUCAAAUAUUAUUCUUCAAGAAAAAGGACAGCGAGAGGAAAUUAUUUUAUCAGGACGUGAAGUAGGUCAUUGUUAUACCCUGGAUUAUCAUUUUCCCCAUGAUACAAAAAAUAUGAACUGGAUGUUUGCCUUGGAGAAUGAAAGCUUUCUUUUCUUCUUUUCUUGCAGAAACUUGAAAAGCUUAACAGGGAAAGAGGAGGCCCAUUUACAGAGACAACCUGGAGAGGGAGGAAGUCCAAGGACUAAGCUGAAGGAGAAGAAAACAUGCUUGGAUAAUGUGCUGCACACUGGUGGGACUGGUGGGAGUGAUGGAGGAGAGAGCUGAGCAGAGAAACAACAGCACAGUUUGGACACAUCUCUGAGGAGCCAGAGCAGAGCUGCCUGCACUGGGUACAGUCAUGGUAUCUGCAGCACAGGUACUCUUUGCCAGACUGCCUGUCAGCCAACAGGUGAAUCCCCUUAUUAGUUUUCCUUAGCUGGCAUAACCCCACUAGUUCCCCAGGUAGACUCCCAAUACAGCUGUCAAAAUCCUAGUCUGCCAUGCUUCUAUUCUUUAGGGGUUCUCUCCAGCAGCUGGGAAAACUUUCCUUUCUCCUAUGCAUUCCCUUCCCUGUUAGAGCAACUAGUGAGUAACUUUUCUGCAACAGCCUUCCUGACAGUUGUAGCAUUCCCCAGAAGAAACCCUGCUGGCUGCCUCUGCUGAUUCCUGCUCCAGCCCUGAUCUCAUCCCUGAUGUGACAACUCUCUUCAAUCCAUGUUGGAACUGAGGUGACAUGCAGUAUUUAUGGACAUCUUCAUGUGACCACAGAGGCAGAUAGACCUCCAUGGCCUUCAUGCCCAAGUGGACUGUAGUCCAGCAUCUCCCAUAUACACUCCUACCCCAGUCUUCAGUGAUCUAAUCUGUAUUCCUGAAGUUGUCUAUCUCAGAGUUGUAUGCAAGAAAAUAAUUUUUCCUACCAGUGGCAAUAAUGAGGACGAAGAAAAUUCAGCAAGGAGAAUAACAAUUAAGGAGAGGAACUUCAGGCAAUGUGUCUGUAAAGCACCAAGCAGCUUCCACUCUUCCUGACCCCACCAAUUUCCUCUGCAAAAACUAUCCGUAUGGAUUUGACGCCUAGCCACUGAGAGACCCUGAGGCCUCAUAUGUCUCACUCCUCUUGUCCUGUGGAUCGCCUGUGUGUCCCUGAAGGGCAGCCUGAAAACCACAGGAGCAGAUAUCCUCAUGGGACCCCUUUGGGUCCCUUCCUUGUGUGUGCCCAGCUGACCAGUGACAGGACCACUCACCUCUGUGGGUGAGGCACACAUGGAUACUGGGUUCUGAGCAAAGCCCUGCCUGUCUUGUGCUGCUGUCUCCCGCUGCCUCCACUACCUGUGAGAAGACAUAAUCAAGAUGUCAGAUGUACAGCUAGAUGCUGCACCUUCUCUCAGCUGAAAACGGUAACCAGAUAUUUUGUGCCUGAAUAAAAAAUAGAAUGAAAUUCCAGCUAAGACAGCCCACAUGUACCUCUGGAAUAUGUUCACAGAGGAGCAGCACACCUGUGCUAUGGCUUCAUAUAUAAUAGCAAGGCUUUGCUGUAAGUCAGCCAGGUGAGAAGUGUUCCACCAGACUGAUCACGCUACCACCCUCCUGUAUGGAGCUGCUAGCAUGAAGUUCAGCAGGACCACAAAGUGGACAGGACUGGACAAAAACUGGGGGAGAGUAAUUUUUCUGCAUACAUUUAUUGAAUUUUCCAUUGCAGAAGUGCAAUCAUGUUGAUUCACAGUUGGCAGAAUGAGUGUCCCAGCGUAACAAAACCACCAGGUUUUCCAGUGUUCCUUCCCAGUGCUAAAAUCCUACAGAAAAACCUGCUCCUGUGCACAGGGAGAGACUGUUUCUGGCGGAGGCAAAGCUCACAGUGAAGUACCAGCUGUAGUAUUGGAGCCAAGAAGUUGCAGAGGCAGCUGCUGCCUGCCUUUCUCGUGUUGCAUGCCUGUUUCCAGCCCUGCAGAGCCGUGGGACCAAGAGUGCAUCAGCAGUGCUGGCUGCAUCCAGCACACUGUAAAGCUGCCUCCUCAGACUCAGGCUGCAGAUCACAUGUGAAAGAUGUAUCCAGUAUCCCAGGAAUGAAAUAGCUCCUCUGUCAAUAUAGCUCAUAGCAGGGCCUCUGGCAAAAACCCCAAUAAAUAACUACAGCCACCUCCAGUCAGAGUUGUCACUGUGCCUGGGGGCAAAAGCCACAAUAAAGCCUAGACCCAGGAGCAGCAG